AAUCAACGCUGGCGGCGUGCCUCAGACAUGCAAGUCGAACGAUUAAGACUCUCUUCGGAGAGUGUAUAAAGUGGCGCACGGGUGAGUAACACGUAGGUAAUGUACCGAAGGGUGGGGAAUAACUUAGGGAAACUUAAGCUAAUACCGCAUAAUGCAGCGGCUCGACAUCGAGACAGUUGUUAAAGGAGCAAUCCGCCUUUUGAGCAGCCUGCGGCAGAUUAGCUAGUUGGUAAGGUAAUGGCUUACCAAGGCUACGAUCUGUAGCCGACCUGAGAGGGUGGUCGGUCACACUGACACUGAAUAACGGGUCAGACUCCUACGGAGGCAGCAGUCGGGAAUUUUGGGCAAUGGGCGAAAGCCUGACCCAGCAACGCCGCGUGAAGGAUGAAGUAUUUCGGUAUGUAAACUUCGUAAGAAUAGGAAGAAUAAAUGACGGUACUAUUUGUAAGGUCCGGCUAACUACGUGCCAGCAGCCGCGG
rnacentral:rRNA from 1 species